AAUCUAGGACGUCCAACUUAACUUGGAGUCCGAACUCUCACUUUCUAACCCUGUGCAUCUGUUUUAAAAUUGGCUAGUAGCUCUUCGGAGCGAACCACCAUUUUUCACUUAUACAAACACAAAGUCUAUGAAUGUAAACAAAUUUAUAACAAAACAAAACUUUCAACAACGGAUCUCUUGGCUCUCGCAUCGAUGAAGAACGCAGCGAAAUGCGAUACGUAAUGUGAAUUGCAGAAUUCAGUGAAUCAUCGAAUCUUUGAACGCACCUUGCGCUCCUUGGUAUUCCGAGGAGCAUGCCUGUUUGAGUGUCAUGAAAUCUUCAACCCACCUCUUUCUUAGUGAAUCUGGUGGUGCUUGGUUUCUGAGCGCUGCUCUGCUUCGGCUUAGCUCGUUCGUAAUGCAUUAGCAUCCGCAACCGAAACUUCGGAUUGACUUGGCGUAAUAGACUAUUCGCUGAGGAUUCCAGACUUGUUCUGGAGCCGAGUUGGGUUAAAGGAAGCUUCUAAUCCUAAAGUCUAUUUUUUGAUUAGAUCUCAAAUCAGGUAGGACUACCCGCUGAACUUAAGCAUAUCAAUAAGCGGAGGAA
rnacentral:rRNA from 1 species